GCGAGUGAAGCGGCAACAGCUCAAAUUUGAAAGCUGGCUCCGGCCCGCAUUGUAAUUUGCAGAGGAUGCUUCUGGCAAGGUGCCUUCCGAGUUCCCUGGAACGGGACGCCAUAGAGGGUGAGAGCCCCGUAUGGAUGGACACCAAGCCUGUGUGAAGCUCCUUCAACGAGUCGAGUAGUUUGGGAAUGCUGCUCAAAAUGGGAGGUAAAUCUCUUCUAAAGCUAAAUACCGGCCAGAGACCGAUAGCGCACAAGUAGAGUGAUCGAAAGAUGAAAAGCACCUUGAAAAGGGGGUUAAACAGUACGUGAAAUUGUUGAAAGGGAAGCGCUUGUGACCAGACUUGCGCCGGGCGGCUCAUCAGGGGUUCUCCCCUGUGCACUCCGCCCGGCUCAGGCCAGCAUCGGUUCUCGUGGGGGGAUAAGAACGGUGGGAACGUGGCCCCCCUCCGGGGGGGUGUUAUAGCCCACCGUACGAUACUCUCGCGGGGACCGAGGUUCGCGCUCCGCAAGGAUGCUGGC
rnacentral:rRNA from 1 species